rnacentral:rRNA from 1 species
UACGUAGGGUGCAAGCGUUGUCCGGAAUUAUUGGGCGUAAAGAGCUCGUAGGCGGUCUGUCGCGUCUGCUGUGAAAACUCAGGGCUUAACCCUGAGCUUGCAGUGGGUACGGGCAGACUAGAGUGCGGUAGGGGAGACUGGAAUUCCUGGUGUAGCGGUGAAAUGCGCAGAUAUCAGGAGGAACACCCAUAGCGAAGGCAGCUUGCUGGGACGUUACUGACGCUAAGGCGCGAAAGCGUGGGGAGCGAACAGG